rnacentral:rRNA from 1 species
AGUGAACGCUGGCGGUAGGCCUAACACAUGCCAGUCGAACGGCAGCACAGUAAGAGCUUGCUCUUACGGGUGGCGAGUGGCGGACGGGUGAGGAAUACAUCGGAAUCUACUUUUUCGUGGGGGAUAACGUAGGGAAACUUACGCUAAUACCGCAUACGACCUACGGGUGAAAGCAGGGGAUCUUCGGACCUUGCGCGAUUGAAUGAGCCGAUGUCGGAUUAGCUAGUUGGCGGGGUAAAGGCCCACCAAGGCGACGAUCCGUAGCUGGUCGGAGAGGAUGAUCGGCCACACUGGAACUGAGACAGGGUCCAGACUCCUACGGGAGGCAGCAGUGGGGAAUGUUGGGCAAUGGGCGCAAGCAUGAUCCAGCCAUACCGCGUGGGUGAAGAAGGCCUUCGGGUUGGAAAGCCCUUUUGUUGGGAAAGAAAAGCAGCAGGUUAAUACCCCGCGGUUCUGACGGUACCCAAAGAAUAAGCACCGGCUAACUUCGUG